UCGUUUCCUGCAACCCCAUUUUCCUUCUCCAUUUCCUCUUCCUUCCCCCUCCCUAUUUUUUCUAGGGUGUGCUUACUUCUUAGAAUAGAUCUUGUGAAAUUGAUGAUUUCUUCCCCUGCUCCUCCCCGGUGUAGUCCUCCGACACCAUCUUUCGAUUGCUGAUGGCAUCUCCUCCCUUCCACAGACACUGGAGGUUUUCUGCCACCAAGCUGAACAAAGCAAGGAUAGGGUUACCAAUAAAGAUCCUAUUCUUUCUGAUUGGAUUUUAUUGUGCGACGGCCUUUGCUACUGUCAUCUCCUUAUAUUCAUAAAAGUUGUAUGUCAGGUUAAUGUCAUUUUCAGGCUUCAACAUACUUGGGUAAUCUGCUCAGCAAAAUGUAUGGUUAGUCAAUCACGGGGAUGUGGGCAUGUGUUCAUUUGAAUGCUCGGAAUAAUAACUAGCAUUAUGUUCUGCCAUGCUAGAACUGCUUUCAUUAGUUAAUUUAGCCAAGCUAUUUGUAGCAGUUAAUCAAUCAUAAAGCCUAGAACUGCUUUUAUUAGUUAAUUUGGCCAAGCUACUUGUAGCACUUAAUCAAUCAUAAAGCAGUUCUAUAUGUGCCACAAAGCAA